rnacentral:rRNA from 1 species
UACGUAGGUGGCAAGCGUUGUCCGGAUUUACUGGGCGUAAAGAGUGCGCAGGCGGUCGUUCAAGUCGCGUGUGAAAGCCCCCGGCUCAACUGGGGAGGGUCACGCGAUACUGAUCGACUCGAAGGCAGGAGAGGGUAGUGGAAUUCCCGGUGUAGUGGUGAAAUGCGUAGAUAUCGGGAGGAACACCAGUGGCGAAGGCGACUACCUGGCCUGUUCUUGACGCUGAGGCGCGAAAGCUAGGGGAGCAAACGGG